CUGUAACAGAAGAUGUUUAUCUAGCUUUAAUUUUAGGGCCUGGUUUCUAAAAAUCUUAAUUGACUCCUUUCAAAUGUAUUUUAUCUAGUGAUAAUGCUACAUUUCAAGCAACAAUUAGGACAGAUUCAUCUACUGUAUCUGUGAUACAAAUGAUAGAUAUUAAACACAUAAAAUAGAGACAAAGGUUAAAGGGUAACUUAUUUCAGAGUUUGGCAAUUGUUUAGAUGGUUGAACCUUGCCUCUUGGCUGCUAAGUUCCCUGUAUAUUUUUUGUAUUGACUUCAUUCAUAUAAAGCAUCAAAAGUUAUAUUUGUUGAUUUGACAGCAACUGGGCCAUCAGAUAUCAAAAUUCUUGACCUUGUUUUUAUAAAGUUCUAUAUUUUCCAUCAUAUUUUCUGUAAGUCUCCCUGUAGCAUGCUCCUCUCGCCACAUAACUCAGCACCAUGGACAGAGGUUCUCCCUAAUCCUGGAAAUUCUGUUGGACCUAUUAUCAAGGGAAGGUUUUACCCCAAGAUUUAUAAUCCUGUGCCAUAGUGUCAGCCUCAGGAAACAGAUGCAUCAGUUAAGCCACAGUCAUAGACAAGGGGGACCACCUAUUCUCAGGCAGCAAAGGGCAGCAGCCCUGCAGGGCUCUUGCCAGCCCUUAGAGCCCCUAAUUGUCCUCAGCUGGGCCUGCCUACUGCUAUUUAAGCUCCAGCUGAGGAGCAUUUCCUGUUAUUGCUUCUUCUGCUUGGCUGCUGGGGGAACUGGGCUUCAUCUUUGA
rnacentral:lncRNA from 1 species